GCAAGUUUGAUUUUUGGACAUUCCGAAUAUACCAAAAAAUUGCUCUCUAAAUGCUCUUUCAGAAUCAAAAAUUGCUCCAGUCGUAAAAACAAUAUUUAAUUAAUUAUCGUCAAUUAAAAAUACAAAACUAAUUUUGUGUAUAACUCAAUUAAUAAACUUUAUUUUUAAUAUUUAUCGCCGUCAUUAAAUUGCUCCCCUUUUUUUCUAUCGAGAGCAAUGAUUUAUUUAGCGAAAUAUUCAAAUUUAAUGCUAAUAAAUUGAAAUCAUAAUUACGAUGCACAUUUAAUUAUCAUGUGACGUCAUAGGUCGGUAGUGGGGGCAGAUCGGGGGUGGGGGAAGUCGAGUGCAUGAGUACGAACAUAAGUCGCUGAGAAUUUUUACAUGUGUGUCGAGCCUAAACAAAUAGUCGUGUAGAAUACAAAUAUAAACAAAUAUUUAAAUAAAUAAAUAUAUGUACGUAUAAGUUAAUACAUAUAAAUUGUUAUUUAUUGUACGAUAAAAUUAGUAUCGAUUGAUAAUUUAUAAUUAUUGAAAUCGAUAACAAUGACACCGAUAAAGUUACAUUGGUUUUAUGAAAUGGAUAAUUGGAGUAUUGCUAUUGAAAGAGGUGAACAAUCACUGCAUUGUUUAUCGUGACAACAUGACUAGUAAAUAAAUUUACUUGAAGGAUCCUGGAACAAUUUCAACUUUAUGGUAACAUCAUGAUGCUAAUAAUGCCUAAGUCGGCUGAUUUAAUAACAUUACAGGGUGAUGAUGAAUUUUUGGGGGAAAUGAUUGAAUACUCAAUCAGACCACUGGUCCAAUAAAAGAUGAAAAAAAAAAUAACAUUUAAUGUUGAGAAAAGUUUUCGAUACCAUUCGGGGAAUGUAUUACUUAAUGGAAAUCUCUGUCUAUAUAAUGUCUACUACAAAUAAUAUAGUAAAUGGAGCUUAAAUGUUACAAGAAAAAACAAUAAUUAUUUCAACACCCGAUUGUUCAAGAUAAUUGGAGUGCAUCAAUCUACAAUCACGUAAUCUUGUAAUUAUAUUUAAAGUGUGUAGAGAAUAAGAAAAAAAAUUAAUAUAAUUAAAAUUGAGUAUAGAAUUUGUCAGCAUUAAUAAUUAAUUAUUGUACGGGGCUUCAGUGCAAUUAAAUUUGAAAAGUCGACGAAAUAAAAAAAAAAUUAUUGUAAUCAAAAUUUAAUUCUGAAUUUCUCAGCAUCAAUACUUGAUUAUUAAUUAAGGCGUGAAGCCGAUUAAAUUCAAAGUGUGGACGGAAUAAAAAAAAAAUAAUUGUAAUUAAAUUUUAAUUUAAAACAUUUCAAAAAUGAUAAUUAAUUAUUGCUUGAGGCCUGAAGCCAAUUAAAUUCAAAGUGUGGACGGAAUAAAAAAAAAAAAUAAUUGUAAUCAAAAUUUAAUUUUAAACUUUUCGAAUAUAAUAAUGAAUUAUUGCUUGAGGCCUGAAGCCAAUUAAAUUCGAAGUGUGGAGAGAAUAAAAAAAAAUAAUAAUUGUAAUCAAAAUUUAAUUUUAAACUUUUCGAAAAUAAUAAUUAAUUAUUGCUUGAGGCCUGAAGCCAAUUAAAUUCAAAGUGUAGACAGAAUAAAAAAAAAAUUAUUGUAAUUAAAUUUUAAUUACAAACUUUUCGAAAAUAAUAAUUAAUUAUUGUUUGAGGCUCAGAGCCAAUUAAAUUCAAAGUGUGGACGGAAUAAAAAAAAAAAUGUAAUCAAAAUUUAAUUCAGAAUUUCUCGGCAUUAUUCAUUAAUUAUUGGUUGAGGUCUCAGACCAAUUAAAUUCAAAGUGUGGAGAGAAUAACAAAAAACAAUUAUUGUAAUUAAAUUUUAAUUUAAAACUUAUCGAAACUAAUAAUUAAUUGUUGCUUGAGGCCUGAAGCCAAUUAAAUUCAAAGUGUGGACGGUAUAAAAAAAAAAAAUAAUUGUAAUUAAAUUUUAAUUUAAACAUUUUCGGAAAUAAUAAUUAAUUAUCGUAUGAGGCCUCAGGGCGAUUAAAUUCAAAGUGUGGAAAGAAUAAAAAAAAAAUUAUUGUAAUCAAAAUUUAAUUCAGAAUUUUUCGGCAUUACUAAUUAAUUAUUGGUUGAGGUCUCAGACCAAUUAAAUUCAAAGUGUGGAGAGAAUAAAAAAAAAUAAUUGUAAUUAAAUUUUAAUUUAAACAUUUUCCGAAAUAAUAAUUAAUUAUCGUAUGAGGCCUCAGGGCGAUUGAAUUCAAAGUGUGGAAAGAAUAAAAAAAAAAUUAUUGUAAUCAAAAUUUAAUUCAGAAUUUUUCGGCAUUACUAAUUAAUUAUUGGUUGAGGUCUCAGACCAAUUAAAUUCAAAGUGUGGAGAGAAUAAAAAAAAAUAAUUGUAAUUAAAUUUUAAUUCAAAUAUUUUCCGAAAUGAUAAUUAAUUAUCGUAUGAGGCCUCAGGGCAAUUAAAUUCAAAGUGUGGAGAGAAUAAAAAAAAAAUAAUUGUAAUCAAAAUUUAAUUCAGAAUUUUUCGGCAUUACUAAUUAAUUAUUGGUUGAGGUCUCAGACCAAUUAAAUUCAAAGUGUGGACGGAAUAAAAAAAAAAAAAUAAUUGUAAUUAAAUUUAAAUUUCAACAUUUUCGGAAAUAAUAAUUAAUUAUCGUAUGAGGCCUCAGGGCAAUUAAAUUCAAAGUGUGGAGAGAAUAAAAAAAAAAUUAUUGUAAUCAAAAUUUAAUUCAGAAUUUUUCGGCAUUACUAAUUAAUUAUUGGUUGAGGUCUCAGACCAAUUAAAUUCAAAGUGUGGAGAGAAUAAAAAAAAAUAAUUGUAAUUAAAUUUUAAUUCAAAUAUUUUCCGAAAUGAUAAUUAAUUAUCGUAUGAGGCCUCAGGGCAAUUAAAUUCAAAGUGUGGAGAGAAUAAAAAAAAAAUUAUUGUAAUCAAAAUUUAAUUCAGAAUUUUUCGGCAUUACUAAUUAAUUAUUGGUUGAGGUCUCAGACCAAUUAAAUUCAAAGUGUGGAGAGAAUAAAAAAAAAUAAUUGUAAUUAAAUUUUAAUUUCAACAUUUUCGGAAAUAAUAAUUAAUUAUCGUAUGAGGCCUCAGGGCGAUUGAAUUCAAAGUGUGGAAAGAAUAAAAUGAAAACUAUUGUAAUUAAAUUUUAAUUUAAAACUUUUCGAAUCUAAUAAUUAAUUAUCGUAUGAGGCCUCAGGGCAAUGAAAUUCAAAGUGUGGAGAGAAUAAAAUGAAAAAAUAAUUGUAAUUACAUUUUAAUUUAAAACUUUUCGAAUCUAAUAAUUAAUUAUCGUAUGAGGCCUCAGGGCAAUUAAAUUCAAAGUGUGGAGGGAAUAAAAAAAAAAUUAUUGUAAUUAAAUUUUAAUUUAAACAUUUUCCGAAAUAAUAAUUAAUUAUCGUAUGAGGCCUCAGGGCAAUUAAAUUCAAAGUGUGGAGAGAAUAAAAAAAAAAUUAUUGUAAUUAAAUUUUAAUUUAAAACUUUCCGAAACUAAUAAUCAAUUAUUGCUUGAGGCCUGAAGCCAAUUAAAUUCAAAGUAUGGACGGAAUAAAAAAAAAAAAAUAAUUGUAAUUAAAUUUUAAUUUAAAACUUUUCGAAUCUAAUAAUUAAUUAUCGUAUGAGGCCUCAGGGCAAUUAAAUUCAAAGUUUGGAGAGAAUAAAAAAAAAAAUUAUUGUAAUCAAAAUUUCAUUCAGAAUUUUUCGGCAUUACUAAUUAAUUAUUGGUUGAGGUCUCAGACCAAUUAAAUUCAAAGUGUGGAGAGAAUAAAAAAAAAAUUAUUGUAAUUAAAUUUUAAUUUAAAACUUUCCGAAACUAAUAAUCAAUUAUUGCUUGAGGCCUGAAGCCAAUUUAAUUCAAAGUGUAGACAGAAUAAAAAAAAAAAAAUAAUUGUAAUCAAAAUGUAAUUCAGAAUUUUUCGGCAUCAUUAAUUAAUUAUUGGUUGAGGUCUCAGACUAAUUAAAUUCAAAGUGUAGAGUGAAUAGAAAAAAAACAUUAUUGUAAUCAAAAUGUAAUUCAGAAUUUUUCAGCAUCAUUAAUUAAUUAUUGGUUGAGGUCUCAGACCAAUUAAAUCCAAAGUGUGGAGAGUAUAAAAAAAAAAAAUAAUUGUAAUCAAAAUGUAAUUCAGAAAUUUUCGGCAUUACUUAUUAAAUGUUUGGUUGAGGUCUCAGACCAAUAAAAUUUGAAGUGUGGAGAGAAUAAAAAACAAAUUAUUUGUAAUUAAAUUUUAAUUAAAAUCAUUUCGAAAAUAAUAAUUAAUUAUUAAUUGAGGCCUGAAGUUAAUAACUUCAAAGUGUGGACAGAAUAAAACAAAAAAUAAUUGUAAUUAAAUUUCAAUUUAAACCUUUUCGGAAAUAACAAUUAAUUAUCGUAUCAGGCCUCAGGGCAAUUAAAUUCAAAGUGUGGACGAAACAAAAAAAAAUAACUGUCAUCAAAAUUUAGUUCUGAAUUUUUUGGCAUUAAAAAUUAAGUAUUCAUUGAGGUAUCAGGUCAAUUAAAUUUAAAUUGUGAAGAAUAAAAAAAAUUAAUUGUAAUCAAAACUCUAUUUAGAAUUUUUCGGCAUUAGUAAUUAAUUAUUGAUUGAGGCCUCAGAUUAAUUAGAUUUAAAAUGUGGAGAGAAUAAAAAAAAGUUAAUUGUUAAUUUCAUAUAAUUUAGAUUUUCCUGGAAUUAAUAAUUAAAUUUAAAAUGUGGACAGAAUAGAAAAAAAUUAAUCGUAAUUACAAUUUAAUAUAGAAUUUUUUGGCAUUAAUAAUUACUUAUUGAUUGAGGCCUCAGACCAAUUAAAUUUAAAACUUACAGAGAAUAAAAAAAAAUAAUUGUAAUCAAAAUUUAAUUCAGAAUUUUUCGGCAUUACUAAUUAAUUAUUGAUGGAGGCCUUAGGCCAAUUAAAUUCAAAGUGUUGAGAGAAUAAAAAAAACUUUAUUGUUAUUGUCAUUUAAUUAACAAUUUUUCGGCCUCAAUAAUUAAUUAUUGUAUGAGACCUCAGGCCAUUUAAAUUCAAAGUGUGGAAAGAAUAGAAAAAUAUUAAAUGUUAUUGUAAUUGAAUUAAAAUUUUUCGGAAUUCGUAAUUAAUUAUUGUAUGGGCCUUCAGGGCAAUAAAAUUUAAACAGUGAAGAGAAUAAAAAAAAGUCUUAAAUGUAAUUAUAAAAUAAUUUAGUAAUUUUCGGCAUUUAUAAUUAACGAGCAACCUGCAAUUACCACGCGACUUCCCUAAUAUCACUACUAAAUUUAUAGAAUACGCAGAAAGAAAGGAUUUCUUGCCACAAUAAAAUUUCAAUUUGCACCAAGAAAUUUUAUGCAUUAUCAAUUAAAUACAAAAAUUGUCUUGGGGCGCGGAAAGAUUUUUUUGCUCAAGAAAUAAUUCCUUGCAUCAAUUAUUUGUUUCUUUAGUUCGAAAUCAAUUUUUCUUUCAAUUCACAAUGCAAAAAAUUUCUUGGGGUCAGUAAAAACUUGCUUUAGGCGAGAGAAUAUUUUUUGUGUCAAUAAAUCCUUUUUUUUUCUUUGCACACUUUUUGGCUCUGAGAAGCUUCCUAAAACCAAAAGGGAGUAUAAAAAUCCGUCAUUUUGGAAUAAGUACCGCGAUAUAAAUAAUAUAGCUAUAUAUUCAGUGACAUUCAGUCAUAUUUAUUGAGAGAAUAAUUAAAGUAUUAAUUUAUUGAAAAAAAAUAAAUACGAUCGUCUUUUUCUCGUGUAAUUUAAAUGUAAUUCGAAUGAUUUAGAUGAAUCUAUUUAACUCAAUACUUGGCAAUUAAAAAAAAUUUAAACUAUGAAAAGGCACAAAUUCAAGUCAAGACCUAUCUAAUGACACCAAUUUUAAUAACAUUAACUAAUUCUAUUAUGUAGAUAUGUCGGGAACAAAAUUUUUCUUAUUCUCUUAAUAAUAUAGAUUAUUGAUUGAGGCCUCAGGGCAAUUAAAUUUCAAGUGUGGAGAGAAUAAAAAGAAAUUAAUUGUAAUUCAAAUACAAUUUAGAUUUUUUUGGAAUAAUUAAUUAAUUAUUGAUUGAGGCCUGAAGCCAAUUAAAUUUAAAGUAUGGAUGAAAUAAAAAAAAAAUAAUUGUAAUUAAAUUUUAA